rnacentral:rRNA from 1 species
AUUGAACGCUGGCGGCAGGCCUAACACAUGCAAGUCGAACGAGUGGCGGACGUGUGAGUAAUGUCUGGUAAACUGCCUGAUGGAGGGGGAUAACUACUGGAAACUGUAGCUAAUACCGCAUACCAUCAACUGUGCCCAGAUGGGAUUAGCUUGUUGGUGGGGUAACGGCUCACCAAGGCGACGAUCCAUAGCUGGUCUGAGAGGAUGACCAGCCACACUGGUACUGAGACCAGGUCCAGAAUCCUACGGACGGCAGCAGUGGGGAAUAUUGCACAAUGGGCGCAAGCCUGAUGCAGCUAUGCCGCGUGUCUGAAGAAGGCCUUCGGGUUGUAAAGUACUUUCAGCGGGGAGGCGUUACCCGCAGAAGAAGCACCGGCUAACUCCGUGCCAGCCGCCGCGGUAAUAC